GGCUGUCAAGUCGGAGACUGAGUGCCUGAGCAGGCGUGGACCAUGAAGGAGAGGAAUCUAACACACCGAGGUUGGAGCUGGGCAGUCUGAGGAAGUCAGAGAUGGCAGGAAGAAAUGCUAAAAAAUCCCUGAAGGAAACACUUAAUUCAGGACGUUGGCUCCUUGAAUUGAAACUCAACCAUCUUUGAAAUCUCCAGACGUAAUCUCCAAGCAGUUCAGUCAAAACCACUAUCACCGUGCUGGAGGAUCUGAUGUCACCUCCAUCAUGGAGGAGAAACCUGAGCCUGACUGCGUUGGACUUUCUGAUCAGUUCACACAAGAGGCCCCAGUUCAAGGCUAACAAUAUCUGACAUGUAAAGUAAACACAGUUUGCAGCCUGUUUGUUGCAACAAGCAGGACUGCAAGCUGAGAAGAGUCCAUGCGCUGGGAUCAUGUGAGCACAGUUCUCCAUUAUGAUUAAUGAGGAAGUUGAAUUGCAGUGCCCCCACUCUGAGAACAGUGACUGUCAAAAGAAUUCAACACAAAAAGCUGUAAAACAGAACAUUAAAACAAGCACUGGGCUGAAAUGUACCUCCAGGGGCAGGGAAGGGGCGGGUGGCGAGGUGAGUUAAUUUGUUUUUAUUUGUAGGUCUCAUUCCAAAAGGCGAUGUUUGGUUUUGCCUCCUGAACUGGUGCUGGAGAAGAGACAUGGCCCAUGAAACAGCGGUGGACCUUACCAAGCAGAACUAGAAGAUAUCUGUCAGAGUUCCAGACAUUGGUUCAUUUCCUCAAGAGAUUCAAGAUUGAAUUACCUCUGGCCAUUUAUCUGUAUGAGUUCCUGUACCAGAAUGUGACUGGAAGACAAUGAAGCAGAAGGAAAAAUUUAACACCGGCACGGCACUGUCUUGGAGCUAAUCGUUUUUCACCAAACACACACAUGUAGCAGCAAAACAUCCUUAAAAUGUAAAACAUCUUGGUUUUUUAAUAACCCCUUGUGGUAUGUUUUUACUUUAGCAAUAAUUGUAUUUUCUUUUUUGCACAUUUUAUUUAACAACAUUGCAGUGCCAGAUAAUCGGUUCCAUGUGUUCAGGGCACUAGCAAAGUGCCUAACGGAGAAACAAUUAACUUUAUUGGGCUCCUGUUAUUGGCAGACACAGCCUUACACCCUUACUUGUUCAUGGUGCUCAGCCACAUAUGAGCUGCAAAGAAUUUGGUGUCCUAAGUAAUCAUGCAGCAACCUGAAUUUAGAGCCAAGUUAUCAUUAAAAAAAAAAAAUCAUGAUCAUGAACUAGAAACAGAAGUUAAAGUCCAUGACAAGAUCCGAAGAUAAAGUUCACUUCAGUAACAAAAAGUGCAAUGAUUAGUCCAGGGCCUGGAGCCAAUGGUUGAUGAGCAAACUUGGACUUUUGCUAAAGAAGAACAUGCAGUAUGAUUUGAAGCAAAUAUGAGCACUGUGACCGUAAUGCAAGCUUAGCUCUUUCAGUAAUAGGCACUGAAACAAUGGUUAAAUGCAGUUAAGUGCAAGGAGCAACACAGUUAGGUUUUAUCAAACAUUAACACUUGUACUGGAGAGUCCAUAAAAUUCUAAUUGGCCUCUUCUGCGGAAAGCAGCCCCAAGAGGUUCUUUAUGUACAAAGCAGCUCUGACUCAUGCCAUGAGUGCUGUGAGAAAAUAAACCCUGCUAGCGUAGCUGCCAUUGAUUUGUCCAGGGAAUGAUGCUCAAGCCACAGAAAGGAUAAAUAGGUCGGGCAUGUGGUAGCACAACUACCUCUGCAAUGGCACAGCCUAAAACUCGGCAUUGCGUUGGACAAAUGGACCUGAACAAAUUGUCUCUUAUGAAAAGCACCAUUUCCCUGAUUGCAAAGCAGGAAGCUUAUUUUGUAUGAGGAUUUGGAAGAGGUAGAGCCAGGGACCGGCCGACUUUCAAAGUCAGGAGUUGGUGGAUCUCAGCAGUGGAAAUGUGCUUAUUCAGAUCAGAGAAUAUACAGAGAAUGAGGGUAUCAAUUCCCACACAUCCCCGGAGACUCAAGCAGAAAUAUUGAGCAAUAAAGACAAAGAGAAUAAUUAGAGAAGCUGAAGAUCUCCAUGAAAAGGUUUUUGAUGUGGAUGCUGUAGAUCAGACAACAAAGAAAUCGAGAAAGAACAAAGAUUGCACUCCUGUCGCUGGCCUACAGACUCCAAAACCACCUCCCAACAUGUGGUCUUAUGGUGGCUCUGACUGGAGUGAAAAUUUUCCGUAGAAGACUGGUGUCUUGGACAUAAGUAAUUCAAAAAUAGGAGGCAGUGGAAAGGGUCACAUUGGUAAAUGCAAAGGCUGACUCAAUUUGGAACUUGGGUGGCAAGAACAUGAGACUCAAGGUGUAAGUAUAAAUGAACAGAUUUUGAAAAUAUGGAUAUAAAAGAAAAAAUAACACAAAAAAAUGAUCUUGGAGCUGGGACUGCACCAUUGCAAAAAUUUUAACUCGCCAAGAAAGCAGUGAUGUCUGAGAGAACAAGGAGUGAUAGCAAAUGCACAGUUCCAAGGGAACCAUCUGCAAGGAGCUUCCUCCCAACUGAGCAAGGUUACAGAUUGCAGAUUCUGGGCAACUGGUGUGAACUGAGAGGCACUCGGCUAAAGAUAAACCAAAGGCAUUCUUCUUUUGUUCAGAUAACAUGGGAUAUCUUCUCCAGCUUUUGGCAGUACCAAGUGCUAGGUUCUAGGAAUAUAAUGUUUCUCAGAGUAAGUCUGUUAUUUUCUAAAUAUCUUGGUGAUAAUUAUGUGGCUUUAUUUCUAUUGGACUCUAAAAAGAAAAUCAUGGGCACCAGAGUCUUGUUGUCAAACUAAUUUAACUUCCAAAGUCCUGAAGAAAAUUGAACCUAUUCCUGAGAAAACAGCCCAGGUUGCAUCUGCUGAAGGAAAACUAACUCUAUAUUGGCAUCACAUGCCCUUUAGUUAAGUCAGAGAAGAGUAAGAAGCAGGUUUGACAUUGUGGAAGACAGGGCGGUCAUUCCUCAAAGACCUAAACACAGAAAUACCAUUUGACCCAGCAAUCCCAAUACUGGGUAUACACCCAAAGGAAUAUAAGUCAUUCUUUUAUAAAGACACAAGCACAUGUAUGUUCAUUGUAGGACUAUUUACAAUAGCAAAGACAUAGAAUCUACCAAAAUGCCCAUGAAUGACAGACUGGAUAAAGAAAAUGUGGUACACAUACACCAUGGAAUACAAUGCAGCCACAAAAAGAAAUGAGAUCACAUCAUUUGCAGGGACAUGGACGGAGCUGGAGGCCAUUAUCCUUAGCAAACUAACACAGGAACAGAAAACCAAAUACCACAUAUUCUCACUUGUAAGUGGGAGCUAAAUGAUGAGAACAUGUAGACACAUAGAGAGUAACAAUACACACUAGGACCUAUCAGAGGGUGGAGGGUGAGAGGAGGGAGAGGAUCAGGAAAAAUAGUAAUGAGUACUAGGCUUAGUGUCUGGGUGAUGAAAUAAUCUGUAGAACAAACCCCCGUGACACAAUUUUACCUAUGCAACAAACCUGCACUUAUACACCUGAACUUAAAAUAAAAGUUGAAAAUAAAAAAGGCAGGGUGGGAUCCAUUUUAUUAUAUAUGUAUGUAAAUAAAUACAUAUAUAUACAUACACAUACAGUCAUGCAGUGCUUAAUGAUGGGGAUACAUUCUGAGAAAUGCAUCCUAAGGUGAUUUUGUUGUUGUGCGAACAUCAUGGAGUGUACUUACACAAACCUAGAUGGUAGAUGCUACUAUACACUUAGGUCGUAUGGUAUAGCCUAUUGCUCCUAGACUAUAAACCUGUAUAUGACUUCAAGGAAUAUUGUCAGUAAUUGUAACACAAUGGUAUUUAUGUAUCUAAAUAUAGAAAAGGUACAGUAAAAAUACUCGAUGAAAAAUGAAAUAUAGUACACCUGUAUAGCACACUGGUAUACCAUGAAUGGAGCUUACAGGACUGGAAGUUGCUUUGGGUGAGUCUGUGAGUGAGUGGUAGUGAAUGUGAAGGUCUAGGAGAUUACUGUAUACUACUUUAGACUUUAUAAACACUGUACACUUAGGAUACACUAAAUGUAUUUAAAAUAUUUUUCUUCAACAAUAAAUUAACCUUAGCUUACUGUAACUUUUUUACUUUAUAAACUUUCUCACGUUUUUUAACUUUUUGACUUUUUUUGUAAUAACGCUUAGUUUAAAACACUCAUUGUACAGCUGUACAAAAAAUAUUUCUUCUUUAUGUACUUAUUCUAUACACUUUCUUCUUUUUAUUUUAUUUUUUAAUUUUAAAACAUUUUUGUUAAAGACUAAAACACAAACACACACAGUAGCCUGAGACAACACACAGUCAUGGUCAUCAAUAUCACUGUUUUUCUUCUUCACCUCUUGUCCCGCUGUCUUCAGGGGCAAUAACAUGCAUGAACCUGUCAUCUUCUAUGAUAACAAUGCCUUCUUCUGGAAUCCCUCCUACAAGGACCUGCCUGAGGCUGUUUUACAGUUAACAUAUUUUUUGUAAGUAGGAGUAUACUUUAAAAUAACCAUAAAAAUAUAACACAGUAAAUACAUAAACCAGUAACAUAGUAAUUUAUUAUAACAGUCUAGUAUUAUGUACUAUACAUAGUUGCCUGUGCUAGACUUUUGUAAGACUGGCAGAGCAAUAGUUGUGUUUAUACCAGCAUCACCACAAACAUGUGACUAAUGCAUUGUGAUAUGACUACAAAGGCUAAGAAGUCAGCAGGCUAUAGCAAUUUUUCAGCUCCAUUAUAAUCUUAUGGGACUACUUUCAUACAUGUGGUCCAUCCUUGACUGAAACGUCAUUAUGUGGCACAUGACCAUAUACAUAUAUAUAUAUAUAAUCUUACAUUUGCAAAAUUAUCUGUAAUUUGCAAAUAAAAAAGAAUUCGAUGGGGGGUUCUUUUGGACUAUUAUAUAUAAGAAACAAACUUUAACAAGCAAAAGACUACUUGAAUUAACUUCUUUCUGGAAUCCCUAGUUGGGAGAAAUUUUAUUAUUGACUCAUGAGGUUUACAUUCAAACUUUUUGCAGUGCCCUAGUAGGCUACAUUGAAUAAUAUGGCUGGACAUAGUUCGAGGUUAAGAAAGAGAUCAGGGUAUGAAUUUUCAGCUUUGGGUAAAAUACCACCUUAGAGUCCAUUUAUUUAACAUUUUAUUGUGACUCAUUCCAGAGUCUUCUGGGAACAAAAUGUAAAACAGCCACUUGUAGGUCUAGGAGACAACCCAGUGGAGGUAUGGCUGGUAUUGGAAAAGUACAAGAACCUGGACACAAGGCUGUUGUAAAAAAAAAUGCUGCUCUCCUUCCCUGAGUGGGUAGCGGCUUAUUGACUGAUGAUGAGUGCAAUGUCUAGACACAAAGGGUUAAGACCUCAGAAACCUGGGGGAAAAUUAUGGGGGAAUAGUUCUUUCCAGCCCCUGAAGUUUCCCCCGAUAUAAACACUUCUGUCUUUUUCUAACCUUUAAUCACUAUUUUACCAGAAGUAAUAAGAUGAUUCAUCGAACUAGUAAAUUUGAGGACAAUAAUUUGGGUGUACUGACUUCAGCUCUUCCUUUUUUCUUUUAUUUACUUCUUCUUCUCCUCCUCUCCCAUCAAAAAGUCAGUAGGUGACGUACCUCCAUGCCCGAUGUGUAACCUUUGUGGUCUUUGCAUUUCAGGUCUGGUCUGGCAUGUGCAGGUGGUUAAGUGUCUCAGUCUCAUAUUUACUUGGUAGGUUUAUUUGGCUCAGACACUAAGCUACAUCAUCUCACUUAGUAGUUAUCAUGAAUCAAGGUGAAAAUUUUGACCCCAUCUGCUUCUUUUUUUCACACUUUCUCAACAUUUUUAGAACAUGGAUGGGAAAGAGGGAUGCUAUUUAUUAAGCCUGCUGAUUUCCUAGAAAACUGACAUGAAUCCCAUUUGGCAGAUGAAAAGAUUGAGUCUUUUGAGUGUGAACAAGUCAACCAAGUUCACGUCAUUAGCAAAGGAAAGGGGCCCAUAUUUGAAGCCACCUGUCUGGUUCUAUAACCUACCCUUAUAGCCAUCUUGCUGAUUUUUUGUUCUUUUCUUGUUCCUGGGUUGAACACAUACUUUAUUUCCUCAUUAAUGAAAUCAGAUUCUUUCUUUCAACGAAUUAAGUACUUAUUUGGUAACAAAACGAACUAGAAUGCGUAGAAGGUCUCAGAAUCCAUUGCUCUUCUAAGCUAAUGUUAACUCAAACAGAGAUUGAGAAAUGGAAAGAGGGAACAGGAAGAAAAGAGCAAAAGAAGAAACUUGGGAGCUGGAGAAGAGGACGUUUGGGAGGAUGGGGUUAUUGCAAAUGUCUAUUUAUGCUUCUAACUCCCUAUGGUGAGGAAAUGAUCAUGAAAAAUGACAACAAUUUCUCUUCAAGUAACUUGUGUGGUAAAAGUGGAAAAAAUAAGGGGCUUGGUUAAGUAUUAUGUAUGUUGUUAAUUACCACACACACACAAACACACACACACACAUAUACAUAUAUACACACACACACACACACACACACACACGCAUAAUUAUUUUUUAUACAGGGUCUCACACUGCCACCCAGACUGGAGUGCAGUGGCAUGAUCUCUGCUCACUUCGGCCUCCACUUCCUGGGUUCAAGUGAUUCUCAUGCCUCAGCCUCCUGAGUAGCUGGGACUACAGGCAUGCAUCAUCACGCCUGGAUAAUUUUUUGUAUUUUUUGGUACAGAUGGG
rnacentral:lncRNA from 1 species